rnacentral:miRNA from 1 species
AGCUGCUUUGGGACUACAACUCCCAUCAUCCCUGACCACUGGUCCGGUUAGCUAGGGAUGAUGGGAGUUGUAGUCCCAAAACAGCU